AGGCUGCGGCGGAAGGUGGGAGCUGAGAUAGCCGACCAGACGGGGUUCGGCCCCUGCAACCUCCGGUGUUCGUGCACGCACUUCCAGGGACCGGCAGCACGUCACCGUCACCUCCGGAGAAGUGAGUUCCCAUGUGCCGAAACCAUUGCUAUUUUCUAAUCGCCACCCUUAUUUUUUUUAAAACGUAUUGGGAGGGUGUAUAUUGGAGAGCAGGUUUGUAAGAGCAUUAUUUUGUGAGCUUGCACCAGCUGAGUUAGGUUUAUACCACUUUUUCCAGCCUCCACUCAUAGUAUGAGUCGAAAUCGGCUCCACGGCACACAACCACUCACCCCCACUCCCUAGCCUCCACGUAAACUUGAGUGACUGGGCCAUCAGCAAGACCGUUUAUAAUUAUGGUGGCUUUGGAGGAAAUUGCAGAAGAGUCGUCUCUGCUUUCCUGGAAAGUAGUUGUCGCUGAAAGUGAAAUUAAAUUUGUUUUCUUUGCAAUAACAAAUCGCACUUUAUUCCUUGAUAUAGCGAUAAACUCUCCCCCUUUGGUAAUUACUGGACAUUUUUGGACUUAAAAGAAAAAAAAUUCUCUGCGUGUUUGUUUUGGUAUUGUUUAGUUACAGAACAUGAGAAUUGUUAUUUCUUCCUGUUUGCGUGUUAUAAUUUAUUAAUAAAUAUAAAAUACAGUUAAUUUGAAGUAAAUAAAAUUUUUACUUUCUUUUUUGUUUGUUUUAUAAAAUCACCUUUCUCUUCCCAAGAAAAUCUCUAUAAUCCAAUUCAGUUUUUGUCACUGAAGGGCAAAAGACAUUUCAGUCAUAAAUAGCAAGAAAAAUAAGCAUACUGUAAAAUGAAGCAUAACUGUCAUGUUUUCAGAUGCAAGACGUUUUCAGCAGAUACAGUGUGAAUUUAUUUAAAUUCCAAAUGGUGCCCAAGUAGCCAAUAGAAAAUGUUUUAUCCAAUUAUUCAUUUCAUUAAACAUCAUAUUUUUUUGUUUGUUUCUUCAGGAAAAUUCAAGGAGGAACAUUUGUUUCUUUAUGUCCUUCGUUCCCUUCCACCCUCCUACCCCUAACAGUUUUCUUCCUGCCUGUUCUGCUUCCUCUUCUGUUGUUAUUAGCAUCUAUUAUGAUAGGAUUUGUGUGUUAAAAGACCAAAUGUACCUCUAAGUACAAUAAUAUUUAGUAAUACUUAGCAUUACCAAGCUUUUUAAUCUAUUAAUAAUUUAAAAGUAUAGCCAUUAAUAAUUUGGAGCCAUAAAAUGGAAUAAUAAAAAAUCAAACAUGCUUAUAUGUAUAUCAAAGAUUGCUUACACUCUAAUCUCACUUUUUGUUUGAUUUAUAUAUAGGACUCAAGCCCAAAAGAUGGACUUUAUUCCUACCUACCUAUACUUAUUCAAAAAAGCACAAAUUUUAAAUAAUAUAAACAUUGGGAAUAUUGGAGAAAUCACUUCGAAGGGGGACAGAUCUGAUAUGAGGAUUUUGUUAACCUUGAGUACUUUACUGAAAGAGAAAGAACAGCAAACGUCUUCAUGAUGUUAAAUGUGUAGGGAAGGAGUGUUAGGAAAAAAUACACUGAUCUUGUUGCUCUUUUGAAAACGCUGUUUAGGAUGAAUUUACUUUAAGCCUUGUAGAAGAACAAGUUUUUAAUUAUCCUGUUGUGCCAUAAGGGGUCCUGGUGACACAGUGGUUAAGUGCUCGGUUGCUAACUGAAAGGUCAGCAGUUCAAACCCACCAGCCGUUCUUUGAGAGAAAGACGUGACGCACUGCUUCUGUAAGGAUUUACAGUCUUAGAAACCCUAUGGGGCAGUUCUACACUGUCCAUAGGGUCGUUAUGAGUCGGAAUCAACUCAACAGCAAUUGGAUUUGGUUUGUUUUUAUUACUUGUGCCCAAUCUAUUACAAAUUUGUAAAAUUUGCUUUAUACCUACCUUAGAGAAUGACUUUAGAUAUUAAAUAUUAAGUAACAUUUGUUAAGGGCUUAAUAUAUUUCUCCCUUUCUAGUAAGCAAUCAAUAAAUGGUGCAUUUUUUGAAUUGUCCUAUUGCAUUAACAAGUUUGUCUUUAUUGCAAAUGUAAAGUGUAUUUGUCCAUUUGGUAGAUAGUUUUAAACACUCCAUACUUGAGUAUGUGUUUUGUAUAUUUUCAAAAUAUGUGUAAGGUAAAUUACUUGGUAUCUUAUAGAAACCGUAACUACUGACUUAGGUUGAGAAAAAAAUACCUUAUUAAAGAAAGAAUGAGUUUGUAUAUAAGUUGUUGUGGCAGGUGUGGACAAUAAUGAAAAUUUUACUGUGGCAAGGGACAGAAGGGACAGGCAUCUCUAAUUUGUGUAAAUUCGUCCCCUAGUCUUCCUGAUUUCCAUAAAUAGUUCCACCAUUCACCCACUUGAUCAUGCAUAAAACUAGGAGUCUUCUGUAAUUGCUGUCUUUCCCUCACACUUACAUCCAGCUCAUUAGUCAGUACCAUCAGCUCUGUCAUACAGAUACAUUCUGAAUUCAGCCACCUACCACCUACAGUGCUACCACCUUGUCCAAGUCACUGUGUUCUCUUGCUGGACUACUGCAGAAUCCACACUAUCUGCUUCCACUGCUUCAUACCCCUCCUACCAUCCUCUAUAUAGCCAGAGUGAUUAUUUUAAAAAUUUCAUAUGGUUAUGUCACUCCCUUGUUUAAAACCCUCCAAUGGCUUCCCUAUGCACAGAGAAUAAAAUCCCAGUUUCUUGCGAUGGUCUUUAAGACUGUAUGAUCUGGCUCCUGUCAACCUCACCAGCUUCAUCUUGUUUUCACCCUUCCUAUUGCCUCCUUUCUAUUUUGUCACAUACUAAGUUCUUUCUAGUCUGUAGCAGACUGUUAGUUGUCCCGUAAAAUUUCUCCAUUUUUUUUAAUAGUAAUGGAUGUGGACACAUGACUGUUCAGAAUAAAGACUAUAUUUUCCAGCCUCUCUUGUAGCCAUUUGAUGGUUCUGGCCAAUGGGAUAUAAAAGAAGUGUUAUGUGACAUCUUUCCAGAAACACCCUUAAAAGCUGGUGUGCACCUUCAGUCUUUUGCUUCUUUUUCUCAUCCUAUAUCCUGCACCCUGGAAUGCAGACAUGAUGACCUGGAAUGCUGGUUGCCAGUUUAACCUGUAUAAAACAACAUUUGACUCUCUAGGCCAUAUGCAAAUUCCUCCAUUUUAGAGAUGGCAAAACUUUAAACUGGCAGGAGCCUGGAUCCUUGAAGACUUUCUGGAUUGGAGCACCAUACCAGCCCCUUACUCCUUACCUCCAGAUUUUGAUGUGAGAAAAAAAUAAACUGUCUUAUUAAAGCCACUAUUUGGGUCUUUGGUUCCCAGCCAGACCUAAUCUUAAUUGGUAUGAUAUCUCAGGGCCUUUGCGCUUGCUCAUUCUUAUUCUUCAGGUCUUAAAUAUCAUAUCUGAGAGGCUUUUCCUGGCCACCCUACCUAAAGUAACUCCCUUCCCAUUUAUUCUCUAUCACAUGACCCCUAUUUUCUUAAUGUUGUUAGCUGCCAUCCGAGUUGGCCCUCGACUUAGGGCAAACCCAUGCACAGCAGAAUGAAAUGCUUCCUAAUCGGUUGUGAAUUGGAUCAUUGUGAUUUUCAGAGAUCACUAGGUCUUUCUUCCUAGUCUGGAAGCUCCAGUGAAACCUGUUCAGUAUCAUAGCACCACACAAGCCUCCACUAACAAGUCAUGGCUGCCCAUGAAGGUACAUUGGCAGGGAAUCAAACCAGUCUCCCACGUGUGUUGCAAGGAUUCUACCACUGAACCACCAGUGCCCUUCAUUUUCUUCAAAGCACUUAUAAUUUGUAUUUACCUUGUUCAUUUAUUGUUUAUUAUCUGUAUCUCUUCACCCUAACUAAAAUGUAAGCUCCAUGACAGCAGAGACUUCAUCUGUUUCGUUCAUUGCUUUCUCUCUCACACAUAGUAGACAUUAGAUAAGUGCUGUUGAUUGAAUGAGCUAAUAAAUGAAUGAACGAAAUAGAUCAUUAAGAUUAGAUAGACUUUUUUUGAAAAUAAAUGUUUUGAAAGGUUUGUUUCAAGACAAUUUGUAAAAUCCUAGCUAGAAAAAGCAACUGGAGAAAACAGAGCUAAACUAAUGGAAUACCCCUAGCCUCUGGCCCUUGAAAAUGAAAAUUUAUGUGCUUAUCUGGGAAACUUGUGUGGUUAUCGCAGAAAAAAAAAAAGCUUAGUUGGUUACACA